CGCGCGAGGCAGUUUUAAAAACUUGGGAGUUUUGGCCGUAUCUCUCUCAGUUCAUGCAACGUGGAGUAGGAUGUGGCCCAGACAGGUGCUUCUGGACUCCGCUGUGGCAUAACUAUGAGAAAAUAACGAAGGGCUGAUUUGCCGUAACAGCUCCUGCUUUGAGUGGCCCGUUCUGUUUUCUUCUUUUGCUGCUCUAAUUCUCUCUCCUCCUGUCCUUGCUUUGCCUCCUUGUCCAUACUCGCUCUGGCUUCCCGAUAAGACCUCUUGGCUCUUUGCUUUUGUAGCUGUGGGUCCUCGCAGCACCCUUUCCAGUGGUAACUCGCCACCAGCUGUCACCACUCACCUUUCCCCGUUGCUGAUCUCACGUGCCCUUCGCGCACACCCUGCUUUUAAUACCUCUUAAUGCACCUUCCCUUCCUGUGACAUCUGGGCUGCUCUCGCUCCAUGAAAGCCUCUCCCUGUGGCCAUUCGCGGUGCACCUGCCGGAGCCUGCCCCACGCUACCUGUGGCCUUUCAUUCCCUGCCACCUCAUCGUCUGUUUCUGGAUUCUCCCUAUCGGUUCCUCCCCCACCGACACCCCCAGGGUGCUCCCAGCUCUGCCUCCACAACCAUCAUCUUUCUUUGCUUCCUUUAACCAGCUCAUUUCAACUUUAAUUUCCAGAGCAACCCUCUGCAGCUGCUCCUGUCAUCAGUCUCUGCUAUUCCAGUCCCUUAGGAAACCUCCUGCUCAUUCUCCCUCCUCCCACGUUAGUGUCUGCCCUCACCCUUGGGGUUUGUUCCCGCCACAUCAGCGCUUGUCUAAUGCCGCUGCCGUCCAGGUGCCACAGGACCUUCUGGCCCCGCAAGUUUCAUGUUAUACACUGACCAAGUCGAAGUGUGCAGAAUGGCUGGGGCUGGGUCAAAAUCCUGUUGUGCUUUCCCUCUUCAGGCCCUUUAGGUCGGAUCUUCGGGUGAGGUCUGGAUGCUGAUUGUGGUACUUGGAAGGGAGCCUGGGCUCUGUAAGAGACUGCCUGGUGGCCUGUGGGUGACAGGGAUGCAGCUGGUGAGAGGGUGGAGAGGGGCUUCGCUGUGCGUGUCCCCCACAGGCAGGCUCGACUGUCACCUCAGUGGCAUGUCCUGUAGCCACAUUGCAGCUGGCCUUGGGUUGGGAAAGAGCAGCCCUCAGAAGUGAGGAGAUUUAACAGCUCCUUGACUCCUGUACCCCACGAGAGCUUCGUGUUCCCCCUGAGACCUGGGCACCCAGCCAGGAGCCCUGCAUGUGUGUGGCACCGCUGUACCCUCCCUCUUCUUCUCCCCCUGCACUCACGUAGCCUGCCCUGUGCCCUGCCUGUGCACUGCAGGACAGAGCUGUCAGAACCACCUCUCCCAAAAAUAAUCUCUGCUUUAGAGGUUGGAAAAUGUGACAGCUCAUUUUCAUACGCGGAGUGAUGCGGUGGGUGCCUGAAAGCAGCUGAGGCUGAGGGGGUGGCCAGGGAGAGACAGCUCUGAAAUGGCAGGAAAGUGGCAGCUGGGGAACACGAGAGGACGGACGGAAGGAAGGAAGGACGGACGGAAGGAAGAGCGUUUGUGGCUGUUCCUGAGUCACCACAGUUCCAGUCCUGCCGUGCCUGCUCAGCGCCGUUCAAUGGAAGGCUUCAGAGGCUGUUAGCAGCACUGAUGUUUGCACUGCUGCCAUAGGAGACAGCCUGGCAAGGGGAAAAAAAAAAAAAACUCAAACACCCCUAAUGAAGCCUAGGACAGUGACUUAACGGCUGCUGCAUUUCAAGAGUUCCUUGGAUGGGCUAAAUCGUGGAGGUAUGAAGGAGAUGAGACAGUGGUGAUGUUUCAGUAUGGUACGGAAGUCAGCAGGGACAGCUUUGCCUUUCCUCCUAACACAGGAUGUCACAGGAACUAAGGGCAGAGGGCACACUUGGGGCCCCAAGGCCUUGCAUUUCGUUUAAAGAGACAUCAUAAGAGUCACAGCUUUGCUGCUCAGGUAGUCUCUUGGCAGCAAUGUAAGAAUUGAGCAAUACUACUUUAAGUUUUUCAAACAAGAGCCCAUGUGAAAGCCAGCUUUGGUGCUGCUCAAUGCAAGUAUCUCCGCUGUGAUGUGAGACCUAUGCAAGGGGCCGGGGAGGAGAUCCCUAUUUACUCUCCAAAAGCACAAUGCGCAGAGACGCUGUUGGCUUUGUCAGAGACCACAGGGAGGGAACCCCUGUCAGUGGGGUUGCUCUCAUUGACCAGAAAAACUCGCCCAAAGAUUUUCAUCAGGUGUGCCAAACCCCUGGACUGUGCUGAUCCCUGUGGAGUGGUUUAGCUGGAGAUCGCACAGAUUGUGCAACGUGCAGCCCAUCCCAACCACCUGCGUUGCAGCAGGGUGCUGGAAUCUCACUCUUCCCUCGGCUCUCCUCUGUGCAGCUGGCUUUGUUCCUGCAGCUCAAUUUGAGGGACACGCACCUCAUUUGUGCAGCUCCCCAUGGGGAUAAGUGCCUCAGCCCAGCAGCUCGCCAUGGGAGAUACACAGCUCACUGUUGGUCUUGCAGCUCACUUUUGGAGAGAGUCCCCUCUGUCCCGCAACUUGUCCUUGGAGACGUGCUGCAGCUUGGUCCCACAGGUGUUCACUCUGCAGGAGCCACAGGAACAAGGAGAAUGGACUGUGUGGGCCCUGUUUGAGACGACAUGCAAAGUGGCACCCUGACCUCAUGGAGGCUCUUCUAGAAGAGGACACUGGCUUGUCCAUAGUAGGCAGGGCAUGCUUUACCGAUAGAAUCUGCGGUGCAGACUGAGCCCGUGUAGCUAGUUACGGUACCCACAACUCUGCAGUGAUUGCCAGCCUCUGGUCCGUUGAGAUGAGGACCCAGGGAGUGAUGUGCCGGUGUUAAAGAGCUGGCAGCCAGCCUUGUGAAGACCUCAUCAAUCUGAACCCACCUGUGACUGCUGUCUCCCUGGUCCAAAGUCUCCGCUCUGUGAGGGGAAGAAGGGAUGGUAAGCUCUAUUUCUGCACCAAGAGGAAUGGCUGAAGCUUGACUGACGCGUUCAUUUUCAGCAUGAAUUUCCGUGAGGCCUUUUCACGGGUGCUGUUGAAAAGUGACUGUCUGGUUUGCAGUAGCGGCAGGACAAAGUGAUUCUUGCAAAAUACUAUUUCAUCUCCCUUUGUUUGGGGACUGAAAAUGCAGAUACUGGGCAGAAAGAAAGAGGGUGUGAUUCUACUGUUUGCUGAUGCCAGUGCAGUGAACUGUUUUGAGCAUGCACUGAAAGGCGGAGUGUGAAAGAAAGAAGAAAGCUUGCAUCCAGUUGCUGAUUUCGAGAAGCGCUGCUGAAGACCAUCUUCACUUAUUUGAUGGAACCAGUUGUAAAAGAAACAUUGAUGUUGUAAUGUUUGUGUGUGUAACGUGUUUGUUUUGCAGCUGGAACAGCCUUAACUAUCAGAAAACAGCUCCAUCCCGCCCUGCGGUCAGGAUCACGCGCUUACCAGGAACCGUCUUCAGAGCCCUUCCAAAAAAGGACAUUUCCAGCACCAACGUGAGUGUGGGUGGAAGAGAAAGCAGCGAGUGAGGGUCAGGGGGUUCUUGUGCCCACAAAAGGCUUUGUCAGAUAAGGAGGAGGAAAGCACAGCCUGUCUCUGUGCUGCUUCCCGAGCCGGCUCCUUGCCCGCAUCCCCGUGGCUGGCCAAGCGCUGCUGGAAGCUCGGCGGAGCUGCAGACGGAGGUGCGCCGUCCCGCUGCCCCCCCAGCUGCCCUGCUGCAAGUAAAACACCGAGCGAUGGAGGAGGUGAGCUGAGGGGCUGUGGUGUGCUGGAGACAGCCCACGUGCGGGGAAAGCAAACCCACCCGCACACCGGACUUGGACCUUGUUGUCACUCUUUUCAUGUUGGGUUUGACUUCUGGUGUAGGGUGACAUGUUCCUGUUUUAAUCCCACCGAGGAGGGGGUUUUCCUUGGGAGUAACACACCAAAAUAAACAGGACUCCGGGGAAUUUGCUGUUACUCAGAGUGAGCUCCGAGUCUGUUACUCAGACUGGCCAUGCUUUAAGCACACAUGAAGGAAGAUACGAACGAGAGGGUUUAGACAGGUUUUUAAACAUUACUUUGCCUUCCCUGCCAGCGUGGACCUUAGCUCUCGUUUUGCUUGCAAGUGCUGGAAACGGUGCAGGUGUUUUGUCAGAGAAAAAUGCUCACUGACCAUUUGUCCCCAGCAGUUUAUCAAAGGCUUUUUUUUUUCCUCCCUCGUUUCCUCUCCGAGUUGAAGAACAGGAGCCGACAAGUCAGUCUCCGAGCCCCGUAAGGACCUCGCUCGCUCCCUGCAGCUGCCCCUGCCAGGGGAGAGCUGAGCACUCCUGUGGAGCACCAGCCACCUGCCUGGGGCACCAGCACCUUCCACACUCGUAUCCUAUAGCUUUGUUGGGUUUUCUUUUUAAUUGCAGCCUGGCACAUCGCCCCGGUGACACUCAGGAGAAGAGGAGCCUGUGGCUGUCCCAGGUGUCCGUGGCACCUGCCAUGGGUGUGAGCCCCUCUGCGGGACCUGCACCCCCAGGCUGAGGAUGUGCUCCCUUCGCCUGUCCCCAGACGCGCUCUGGUUCCGCUCUGGUUGAACAGGAGCGGCGGCGGACCCUCUUCCCCAGGGCCCCACUGCCUCGCUGCCUGCCGCAAGUGCGUCCCAGCAUCGUGGCGGGGCGCUGGGGAGGGUCUGGCAGCCCUGCUCCUGGUGGGAGAAGUCUCUGCCGUGGGUGAAAGUGCCGACGAUGGGCGCAGGGAGUGACGGCUGUGCCUGUCGUCCUCCAGGAGCGCCUGCGGACACAGUUCCUCAUCCGCAAGUCGUGCCAGCGCCAGAGAGGCCUCCGGGAGGCUGGCAAACCACCACGUCACCCUCCUGCUUUGCUGCUUCUCCGCAGGCACAGGGCAGCCUGUGAACCACCGCAAAAGGGCCUUCUGGAAACCUAUUGCGAAACACCGUGAUCGCUGAUUUAAAAAAAAAAAAACAAACAAAACACGAAAACAAAACGAUCACAAAUGCUAGAAUCAUUUAACAGGCCUGUCUCUGCUCAUCCUGCCCUGCGAUUUGUAGACAGCACAGAAACUUUACAUGAAUUAUGACCUGGGCACCAAGCCAAACACUGGGCUUCAAUCCGGAGCUUGCUUUUAUCAGCGUGCUCCACGGGGCAGCAGAGCCCACUGCAGAAGCUGAGUAUUUCCAUUUCUUUGAAAAAAUUAACAACCUACUUAAUGCUGAAACAAUGCCUUCUGACGUGCUGUCAGGGCCUUCGGCUGGUUUGAGCAUAGCUUAUUCCAGCCCAGGCUGCUUUAUAUGUCACGGCGCGUGUCCUCAGCUUCACCCUUCCAUUGUAUCCCUUAUCGGAAGCCCCACUCCUGGGAUCUGCGGUCAGUCGUU